CCUGCUGCCACCCUGGAAGGAAUGACCACAGCCUGUGCCUGACAUCCCGGCGGAAGUGCCCCUCGCCGGUGUGGGCCUCGUGUCCUCUCGGCCCACGUUUUUUUGUGGGAACAUGGAAUCCUUGUCACCUGUGUGGCCUUGGAAUCUCUGCUUUCUCCACUAGCCUGAGCCCCUGUGUCAGCUCCGAAGAGCCCUCCCGGCAAGUCGUGAAAUAGCUGUGUGCAGGGUGUGGUUCUGUUGGGCACCUUGGCCAUCUGGGUAGAUCAUGAUACCUUAAUUCGGCUGAAGAGAGGUGAUGACAUAAAAAUCAUGCUCAAUAGGCUUACUCUGAUGUCCAGGUGAGAGGAUAGUUUUUCUGCAGGAAGCUGGCCAAUGCGCAUCCCUGUGUGCCUGCUGUACCCAUUCCGAUGGUCGAGGCUUUCCUCUGGCGUUAGCAAUGGAUACUUGUUUAGGCUCGGUGGGGGUCCUGGUGUGCCCGUCUCAGGGAGUAAUGUUGUGCUCCCUGGCUGCGGCCCUGUCAUCGGCUUUUGUCUUUCAGUGGGCCGCACUCACCAUGUCCCAGCGUGGGCCUCCGACCUGCUAGCCCGCUCACACUGCCACCCUGGAAGGAAGAACUGCAGCCUGUGCCUGUCAUCCCAUCAGAAGGGUGCAUGGCCAGCCGGGUCUGCCCGCACCUGAGCGGCCCUGAGACCUUUGCUCCCCUCUAGCACCCUGGGCCCCCGCAUCUGCUCCCAGACCUCUUCUUUGGGCCGCACCCGCUGCGUUCCAUCAGGGGCCUCCAAGCUGCAAGAUUAAAAGCUAGAACAAGUCACUGUACUUCAGGAAAGAGAGGUAGAGGGCUGGAAUCCGGUGCUAUACUUCAGAGACAGGGUAAGUCACUAACCUAGCCCCCUUUCAAAUUCAUGUCAUGUUGUGUGCCAGGUUCUGAGGUCUCUGUUUAUCUUUUCAGAGAGUUACCUGAAAAUACUGUUAUGAUGUGCUCUUUUCCUUUUUCAGACUCUCACCAAGGUCACUGAAAUUAUUUAAUCUAUAUUAUCGUUUCUUUCAUUUUAACUCUUUCCUGAUUUUAUGCAAAAUGCAAAAUUUAAAAGAAUUGUUUGAGUAAUUUCAUAUUGGAUCAAAAAUUGUUAUGAUGACAUCCAGUUGUGCCAAAAUUGGUUGGGUUUUCCUCAUUUGUUUAAUUAUUGCAGUUUCAGAAUAGAGAAUCCACGAGGUCUUCGUGGUCACAAUGUAUUUCUGCUUCUAGUGUAAUCAUUAAGUAUUGACUUGAAUUAGUUUCCCAUUUUUGAAAUAGGCAAUUAUAUAGGAAAUUUUGUUCUCUUUUUGGUAUGGGUGAAGCAGUCACAGGCAUGAGACACCUGGAUGGUUUCUGGAGUGCUAUAAUAUAUGUUGGUCUCUGUUUUGAUUACUUGCUGCAUUUGGGUGAUGCAAAUUCAUUAAGCUGUACAAUUAUAGUGCAUAUAAUUUUUCAGUCAGUAUUUAUACUUCAAUGGAAAGUAGAAAAUACCAUGAAGGGAAUCCAAAUAUUGGUUAAGACACUCUGUAACAAUAUCUUCCACUAGAUUAUGUGUUACUUGCUUCAUAAUGAUCACUGUUCUUGUAAGAGUCCAAUUGUGUUGUCUAACAUAAACAUAUUCAUAAAACUGUAUUAUGAAGUAUUUUUUAUUUCAACACAUGCAUUUAUUUUCCCAUGCAUAUGCCUAAAUUCUUUUAUGUAUACCUUUUUUCUGUUAUGGGAAUCAGUGUGAUUAUUUUCUUAAUGCAUGCAAAGAUGUCACUCAUAGGUUUUAGAACAAUAGAAAUCCACAUGCCUUGCACCGUGGAAAAACUCACGUACUUUUGGUGAAAUGAGUUGAAACAUAAAGCCACAGUCAGAAUGGUAACUGCUUGGAUUGGCAAGUCGUUCUUACCUUUGGAGUUGCUGACACACUGAGACUACACUCUUUAUUUCACUUUUAAAUCCUUAAUUUUCUCUACUUUAGUGUAAGAUCAGAAAGCUCUCACCAUCAAUUACUGUCAUGGCUUCACUUAAGAAAUUCUAAUGAUACAAAGACUAUAAGAUGACUUAUGGUAGGCCGGGUGUGGUGGGGAACACCUGUAACCUCAGUACUUGGGAGGCUGAGGAAGGAGGAUCACUGCGAGUUCGA